rnacentral:lncRNA from 1 species
UAAGGACUCUCUGGGGGCCUCCUAUCAAUCAGGACAUCUUCCUCCCCAUUGCCUCUGAGUGGGACAGCCCCAAAUCCCCAUCUUACCACUGUUUCCUCAGACUACUUACAUUCGUUCUGGUCCUUGAAGAAGCAGACACCAAGACAGGACUCUAUGUGCAAGAGAUUUAUGGGGGACACCUGUGAGGGAAGAUGGGCGGGGAGCCAGGGGGAAGUUGGGAGGGACGUCAGAUUGUGACAUAGUUUGGACCCUGCGGAGGAGAGAGGGCAGGACAGAAGGUGGGGUGAAGAGUCUCAGGUUGUGGUUCAGAUAUAAGAAAGUAGCAAGCCCUUGGGGAAUCCUUGUGCCAAUUUGUCUGUCGGGGGGGGUCUUGCAUCUCCAAGAGGGGACCUGCCGGAGUCAAUGGCUGGAAGCAGCCUGAGGGCCUCAGUGCAAACAGCGAUGGCCAUGAUCCAGGCACAGCAGCAGGGACCAGUCUGAAAUCUGAGAGGCGCGUUUGCACGGCCACCACCAAAGGUCUGGGGGCUUAUCUCUUUUGGAGUUCUGGACCCAAAGGAACAAAGAUGUCAGCAUUUUCUACCUCAGGCCAGGCUGGGCGCUGUUCUGCUCCCGAGGAGUCUCUGGGUAAGAUGCAGCACAGACCCAGAGAGCUCGCAACCAAAAGAAGAGACAGACUAUGGUGCACAGAAUAACGUCCCCCACCCCAGCCUCCUGAAGAUGUCCACGUCCUGAUGCCCAGAAUCUGUGAACAUGCCGCCUGACGUGCAAAGGAGAAUUAAGGCUGCUAAUCAGCUGACCUCAAGAGGUUACCCUGGAUGGCCCAGCGCCAUCACAAGGGUUCUUAGAAGUGGA